AUCUACAGCCAUACCACCCUGAACACACACUGAAUCUUGUCUGAUCUUGGAAGCUAAGCAGGGUCCGGUCUGGUUAGUACUUGGAUGGGAGAAAAAUGAUAUCUGUAGGAA
rnacentral:rRNA from 1 species